UGCAAGUCGAGCGGAGUUGACGGAAAGCUUGCUUUCCUGAUACUUAGCGGCGGACGGGUGAGUAACACGUAGGCAACCUGCCCUCAAGCUUGGGACAACUACCGGAAACGGUAGCUAAUACCGAAUACUUGUUUUCUUCGCCUGAAGGAAACUGGAAAGACGGAGCAAUCUGUCACUUGGGGAUGGGCCUGCGGCGCAUUAGCUAGUUGGUGAGGUAACGGCUCACCAAGGCGACGAUGCGUAGCCGACCUGAGAGGGUGAUCGGCCACACUGGGACUGAGACACGGCCCAGACUCCUACGGGAGGCAGCAGUAGGGAAUCUUCCGCAAUGGGCGAAAGCCUGACGGAGCAAUGCCGCGUGAGUGAUGAAGGUUUUCGGAUCGUAAAGCUCUGUUGCCAGGGAAGAACGCUUGGGAGAGUAACUGCUCUCAAGGUGACGGUACCUGAGAAGAAAGCCCCGGCUAACUACGUGCCAGCAGCCGCGGUAAUACGUAGGGGGCAAGCGUUGUCCGGAAUUAUUGGGCGUAAAGCGCGCGCAGGCGGUCAUGUAAGUCUGGUGUUUAAUCCCGGGGCUCAACCCCGGAUCGCACUGGAAACUGCGUGACUUGAGUGCAGAAGAGGAGAGUGGAAUUCCACGUGUAGCGGUGAAAUGCGUAGAGAUGUGGAGGAACACCAGUGGCGAAGGCGACUCUCUGGGCUGUAACUGACGCUGAGGCGCGAAAGCGUGGGGAGCA
rnacentral:rRNA from 1 species